rnacentral:tRNA from 1 species
GUCUCUGUGGCGUAAUAGGUUAACACAUUUGGCUAUUAACCAGAAAGUUGGUGGUUUGAGCCCACCCAGGGAGG